GACGAACGCUGGCGGCGUGCUUAACACAUGCAAGUCGAACGGAAAGGCCCUGCUUUUGUGGGGUGCUCGAGUGGCGAACGGGUGAGUAACACGUGAGUAACCUGCCCUUGACUUUGGGAUAACUUCAGGAAACUGGGGCUAAUACCGGAUAGGAGCUCCUGCUGCAUGGUGGGGGUUGGAAAGUUUCGGCGGUUGGGGAUGGACUCGCGGCUUAUCCGCUUGUUGGUGGGGUAGUGGCUUACCAAGGCUUUGACGGGUAGCCGGCCUGAGAAGGUGACCGGCCGCAUUGGAACUGAGAUACGGCUCAGAAGCCUACGGGAGGCAGUAGUGGGGAAUAUUACACAGUGGGCGGAAGCGUGAUGCAGCAACGCCACGAGCGUGAUGACGGCCUUCGGGUUGUAAACGGCUUUCGCCUGUGACGAAGCGAGGGUGACGGUAAUGGGUAAGGAAACACCGGCUAACUACGUG
rnacentral:rRNA from 1 species